AAAUGGGACAGCCAGAAAAUGAAGCCUAAGAAACUUCAGUUACUAAACUUCCUCCAUGAGGCCCAAGGCAGACUAACCAGCUGAGACUAACAUGGAUUGGAAUGUUUAUAAGUAAGAUUUUUAGUUAUUCUCAUGAACCUUACUGUGGGCCGGUCAGUUAGCAAGUCCUAUAUAAUGCUUGUUAAAGAUCUCAAACUAAGAUUUUCAGGGCUCACAGGGAUUAAGUGGAAUGGAAGAAUGGAGAGAAGCCAUUUCUCCCGGCUGAGUCCAUCAUGCUCAGGAGACUUUUACCCUCUUCACUUCCUGACCCAUCAAUGAUGUUCCCUUCUUGGCUUUAGCUCUAACCUGUCUCCAGAGCAUCUGAUCCAUUACUUCCAAGUGUUUAUUUAAUGGGGCCUCCCCUAUGGGCAACUUUAAGACAACAAGUCUAAAAUGAACAUUUUCUCCUGCCCACUCAAAGCUAUGCUUUCUAGCAUUACAUUCCUAAGAUAUUUAGUUUUUAUUGGUUCAGUAACCAUUUGAGUGCUUACCUGUGUUGCAGCAGAUAUAGGAAAGAAUGAUGAAACUCAAAUUUAACUGGGUAGCAAAAUUAAAAUUUAAAAAAAUGAGAUGCAGCCCUGUCUAGUGGGGAGAAGAGCAUGUGAAGACAUAAGUACACUCUUCAAGUGCCACACGGACAUGAAGGAGGGGACACCUUGCCCCAUCCUGAAGUCAGGGACGACAUCAGAGGACAGGAACGCCUCUGUGUGUAUUCUUUUCCUUAGCUCUUCAACUGAAAAGGAUCCUUGAGGCAAAAUCUUUUUCUUAAUAUGCUUAUUUCCCACCAUAAUCAGGGCACUCAGUGCACAGCAACUAGCAAACACUUGAUAAUGCUUGGGCCAAGGCAUCACUGACCCAGGUGCCCAAGCAACAGGGCAAAAUUGAAGGCAGCCCACCCACCAGGCACCACGCAGAGCUCUCUACCCACAGGCUGAGCUCUCUCUCUGUGCAGCUUUGCUCUGAGGAAGUCUAAAUGUAGUAAAGAAUAUCCUUUUUUUUAAUCCUUAGGAAGACUUUCUCCACUGAGAUAAAUGUAAAGAUAAAUUCUACCAACCUUUUUCAGACUGUUAAAUGUGGAGAGUCCUGCUUCAUCAUCAUCAUCAUCACAAACGCACAGCACUCAUCAUUUGCCCAAUGAUAUUCUAAGUACUUAAUAUAUAGUUCAUGCACGUAAUGCUCACACCAACCGUAUGUGGUGGGCACUAUCAUUAUCCCCAUUUUAUAGAUAAGGAAAGAAGGCAUGAGAGGUGAGGUGACUUGCCCAAGGCCAGAGAGCUAAUUUUGUGUUACCAGGAUCCAGAGUAUACUCUUAGCCACUCCGCUCAUCCUUCUGAUUUGGGGUGGUAGUCAUAUCACAUCUGUCUUUUGCACUCUGGGAUAUAGAAGUACUAAGAUGAGGCAUUUGCAAAAACAAAAACACAGUGCUCACCAAACUAACAUUUAUUUAGCUUUGUUCCCUCCCAUCCAAGACUGCUGAUCUCUAAACAAGCAUCAAAACCCGAAGCUCAUUAACAUCAGAGUGAGCUUCAAUAAGGUGAACACUACAAUGAUGUACAAUUACAUCCUAAUAAUUCAAUGCCCAAGAGCCCUGUAGAACUAUUGCAAGGCCCAGGAUUAUCACAGUAUGCAAAUGCACUAGGAAAAUCAUUACCUAUUUAGUCCCCUUUAUUUUGGUGGGUUUAACAUGAGAAGAAUAAUCCAUGCUACAAGACGAGAUUUCAUUUUACAGCUGUAGUAACCAAGUGCAUAAAAGCUUGAAUCUGUCCCAAUAGCUUCUAAAAAAUUUUUCCCAUAGUGUCAGAGGCAAAAAUAAUGAAAUCUUGCAAAUGUACAGUUAAUAGGACCCUAGUGGACACUAACUUCAAAAAUGCAUGGUCUAUAAGAUAUUAUAAGGCUUGAUUCUAGUUUCUGCACUGUUCCUGUUAAUAACAAUGUCUAAUUAAAACAUCUGUAAAAUACUGAUAGUUUUAAUUUUACAUAAAAUUUCCAAAACAACUGUUACACAGUAUAAUAGGUAUCUGCAAUGAAUAGGUUAUUAAUGGAAAUAUUAAUUUAAAUUAAAAUCUGGUUCUAAAUUU
ensembl:lncRNA novel transcript, antisense to HDHD2